GCCACGUAUCCUUCUUCGUACAACACCCUUAUCCCCAAGGAUCCUUCAUCAUCACGCCAACCAAUUACAACCACAAGUUCCCUUCGACCAAUCCCAAGGUUCCUUCGUCAACAAGUUAUCAUCCUUAACCACUCGUUUCAUGGGGCAUUCCUCUAUAAAUACCCAUGCAAUCGAAUGAAAGAGGCAGAACGCAUCAAGGAUUAGACACAGCAGCAGCCGAAGUUCUCAAGCUCUCAAGUCUCAUAGUUUUUCUCUCCUUUUUCUCUUCUCUUCUUUUCUUAGCUUUCCUCUUUCUUCCUUUCUGAAGACAGUAAGAUAGUUACUAUUUUCAGCCACUUGUACAUCGAUAAAAGUCGGUAACGUUCAUAUGACUUUUAUAUUAUUUUCAAAUGUGUGAUUGUCAUCUCUCUGCUUUACCUUCUUACUAUCCUAAAGAAUGGAGAAAGUUUGCCAGCCUUUGUAUAUGUAAUCAGU
rnacentral:lncRNA from 1 species